rnacentral:rRNA from 1 species
CGAUCCGAUGGGGUAUUGUUGCCUUGUCGAGGAGCUUCCCGGAAACGAAAGUCUUUCGGUUCCGGGGUAGUAUGGUUGCAAAGCUGAAACUUAAAGAAAUUGACGGAAUGGCACCACCAGGAGUGGAGCCUGCGGCUUAAUUUGACUCAACACGGGAAAACUCACCCGGCCCGGACACCGUAAGGAUUGACAGAUUGAAAGCUCUUUCUCGAUUUGGUGGUUGGUGGUGCAUGGCCGUUCUUAGUUGGUGGAGCGAUUUGUCUGGUUUAUUCCGAUAACGAGCGAGACUCUAGCCUGCUAAAUAGUGGCUGGAUUUUCACGUCCAGUCUACUNCUUAGAGGGAUAAGCGGUGUUUAGCCGCACGAGAUUGAGCGAUAACAGGUCUGUGAUGCCCUUAGAUGUCCGGGGCUGCACGCGCGCUACAAUGGAAGAAUCAGCUGGCCUAUCCAUUGCCGAAAGGCAUUGGUAAACCGUUGAAACUCUUCCGUGACCGGGAUAGGGAAUUGUAAUUAUUUCCCUUGAACGAGGAAUUCCUAGUAAGUGUGAGUCAUCAGCUCACGCU